UACGUAGGGGGCGAGCGUUGUCCGGAUUUAUUGGGCGUAAAGAGCGUGUAGGCGGUUCGGUAAGUCUGUCGUGAAAUCCUGAGGCUCAACCUCGGGCGUGCGAUGGAUACUGCCGGGCUAGAGGAUGGUAGAGGCGAGUGGAAUUUACGGUGUAGCGGUGAAAUGCGUAGAUAUCGUAAGGAAGACCAGUGGCGAAGGCGGGGUCUCUGGACAGUUCCUGACGCUGAGGCACGAAGGUCAGGGGAGCAAACGGG
rnacentral:rRNA from 1 species